UACAGAGGUCUCAAGCGUUGUUCGGAUUCAUUGGGCGUAAAGGGUGCGUAGGAGGGCAGGUAAGUCAGUGGUGAAAUCUCCAAGCUUAACUUGGAAACUGCCGUUGAUACUAUCUGUCUUGAAUACCGUGGAGGUGAGCGGAAUAUGUCAUGUAGCGGUGAAAUGCUUAGAUAUGACAUAGAACACCAAUUGCGAAGGCAGCUCGCUACACGAAUAUUGACUCUGAGGCACGAAAGCGUGGGGAUCAAACAGG
rnacentral:rRNA from 1 species